rnacentral:rRNA from 1 species
GUGAGGAAUAUUGGUCAAUGGACGGAAGUCUGAACCAGCCAUGCCGCGUGCAGGAAUAAGGUCCUAUGGAUUGUAAACUGCUUUUAUUCGGGAAUAAACCUCUUUACGUGUAGGGAGCUGAAGGUACCGAAGGAAUAAGCACCGGCUAACUCCGUGCCAGCAGCCGCGGUAAUACGGAGGGUGCAAGCGUUAUCCGGAAUCAUCGGGUUUAAAGGGUCCGCAGGCGGGCUAUCAAGUCAGAGGUGAAAUCCCACAGCUUAACUGUGGAACUGCCUGUGAAACUGAUGGUCUUGAAUUAAGUGGGCGUUGGCGGAAUAUGACAUGUAGCGGUGAAAUGCAUAGAUAUGUCAUGGAACACCGAAAGCGAAGGCAGCUAACGAUACUUAUAUUGACGCUCAUGGACGAAAGCGUGGGUAGCGAACAGGAUUAGAUACCCCAGUAGUCC